rnacentral:lncRNA from 1 species
UGACAUUUGUCUUAUCCCACUGCUCGUCUGAAAUGCUGCUGAUAUGAUCGCCCCGGCUUUCUAGAGUCAAAAUCAUGAAAUCAGAAAUGCAACUCCAUCCGUCUACCAUAUUGUUG